UUUGAGAGUUUGAUCCUGGCUCAGGAUGAACGCUGGCGGCGUGUCUAAGGCAUGCAAGUCGAAUGCCGGGUGUCGGAUUUCGGACUUCAGAUGUCAGAUGUCAGAUUAUUAUAAAAUAAUCAGAUGUCCGAUAUCUGAAAUCUGAAAUCCGAUAUCCGGCAUGGCAAACGGGAGAGUAACACAUUGGUAAUCUGCCUUGAGGCCGUGAAUAAGCUUGCGAAAGCGAGUCUAAUACACGAUGGCAGCGGGGGGUCAAAAGACAUUCCCGCUUAAAGUUUUAAUGCCUCAAGAGGAGCCUAUGUCCUAUCAGCUUGUUGGUGAGGUAAAAGCUCACCAAGGCAAUGACGGGUAGCGGGUGUGAGAGCAUGACCCGUCUCACUGGGACUGAGAUACUGCCCAGACUCCUACGGGAGGCUGCAGUCGAGAAUUUUCCUCAAUGGCCGAAAGGCUGAAGGAGCGACGCCGCGUGGUUGAAGAAGCUCUUCGGAGUGUAAAAACCUUUUCCAUGGGAAAAAGUCUGCACCUUUUGGAUAGUUUAUGCUAAAAAAUCCUAAAUCCUAAACUCUAAAUCCUAAACAAAUUCUAAAUAACAAAUAACAAAUAACGAAUUAUGAAUAAAUAAUAAUCACUAAGAUUAUAAUUUUCAAAAUAAUUAUGAAUUUUGAAAAUUGGAAUUUGUUUGUUAUUUGGGAUUUAAAAUUUGUGAUUUGUUUAGAAUUUAGGAUUUCGGAUUUAGAAUUUAUAAAUUAUUCAAAAGGUGCAGAUUGAUGGUACCAUGGGAAUAAGGGGCUGCUAAACUCGUGCCAGCAGCAGCGGUAAUACGAGUGCCCCUAGCGUUAUCCGGAUUUAUUGGGCGUAAAGAGUGCGUAGGCGGUUUAUCGCAUCUCCUGUUAAAUCCCGAGGCUCAACUUCGGGGCUGCGGGAGAGAUGGACAAACUAGAGAUCGGGAGAGGCAAGCGGAAUUGCUGGUGUAGGGGUUAAAUCCGUUAAUAUCAGCAGGAACACCAAAUGCGAAGGCAGCUUGCUAGAACGAUUCUGACGCUAAAGUACGAAAGCGUGGGGAGCGAAUGGGAUUAGAUACCCCAGUAGUCCACGCCGUAAACGAUGGAUGCUAAGCAUUGGCAGUAUCGACCCUGCCAGUGUUGUCUACCUAAGUUAACACCUUAAGCAUCCCGCCUGGGGAGUACGGCCGCAAGGCUAAAACUCAAAGGAAUAGACGGGGACCCGCACAAGCGGUGGAGCAUGUGGUUUAAUUCGACGAUAAGCGAGGAACCUUACCAAGGUUUGACAUCCGGCUGCAGAUCCCGAGAAAUCGGGAAGCCUUCGAGGGUGCCGGACAGAUGCUGCAUGGUUGUCGUCAGCUCGUGUCGUGAGAUGUACCGUUAAGUCGGGAAACGAGCGCAACCCCUAUCCUAUGUUUUAUAUGUCAUAGGAGACUGCCCGCUUUAAGUGGGAGGAAGGCGGGGAUGACGUCAAAUCAGCAUGGUUCUUACACCUUGGGCGACACACGUGCUACAAUGGGAAGUACAAUGGGACGCCAAGCCGCAAGGCGGAGCAAAUCCCUAAAAACUUCUCUCAGUUCGGAUUGAGGUCUGCAACUCGACCUCAUGAAGUUGGAAUCGCUAGUAAACGCGAAUCAGCCACGUCGCGUUGAAUACGUUCUCGGGUCUUGUACUCACCGCCCGUCACACCAAGAGAGCCGGCAAUGCCCGAACUCCGAUGUACUUCGGAGGAAGGCAGGGCUGGUGAUAAGGGUGAAGUCGUAACAAGGCAUCCGUAGCGGAAGCUGUGGAUGGAUCACCUCCUUUCUAGGGAG
rnacentral:rRNA from 1 species